UGGCAUCUCGCUGCCCUUCCACAGCCAUCCAUCAACCCUCCACAACCGUCCAAAGCAAUUCCCACAAUUGCUUAAAAGAUCAUCACCGAAUUCCGCCAUCAUCUCUACCACCACGGAUCAUCCUUCGAUCUCCCUGUGAAUUGCAACAGGUUCUGGUUUCCUACCUUACUGCUGCUGCAAUUUAGUUAUCCUUAUUCGAAAAUCAAAAAAAAAAAAAUCG
rnacentral:lncRNA from 1 species